rnacentral:rRNA from 1 species
GAUUAACGCUGGCGGCGUGCAUAACACAUGCAAGUCGAACGAUGAAACUUAAAUGAUUUCUUCGGAAUGAACUUAAGUGGAUUAGUGGCGGACGGGUGAGUAACGCGUGAGUAUCCUGCCUUACACAAGGGGAUAGCCGUUGGAAACGACGAAUAAUACCCUAUGAAACUAUCACUUCGCAUGAAGCGAUAGUCAAAGUGUUAGCGGUGUAAGAUGGACUUGCGUCUGAUUAGCUAGUUGGUGAGACAAAAGCCCACCAAGGCAACGAUCAGUAGCCGGAUUGGGAGAGUGGACGGGCACAUUGGGACUGGGGCAAGGCCCAGACUCCUACGGGAGGCAGCAGGGGGGAAUUAUGCACAAUGGGGGAAACCCUGAUGCAGCGACGCUGCGUGAUUUAGAAGGCCUGCGGGUUGUAAAAAUCGUUUGUAUAGGAAGAAAAUGACGGUACUAUACGAAUAAGGUCCGGCUAAUUACGUG